CAAUGAGUGUUUUAUGGCACUCUUUAAAAAUCCAUAUCCACCUUGUGUGCAAUGUUUGUUGGGAGAGAGGCAACUCUUUUCCCUUCACAAAUAUCAACCUAUAUCUUUGGCCAAGUCAUCGUCUGCCCAUUUUUAACAAACAAUUAAUGUAACAAACGUAGUCUUAUUAUAACCUAAUA
rnacentral:misc_RNA from 1 species